rnacentral:lncRNA from 1 species
GAAAUUUGGUGUUAAUGCAUGUUAGAGACAUAGUAUAAUGGACUAUGCUCAUGAAACAUACCACACACAAAAGAAUAUGCAAAAGUGGUGGCCUAAUCUCAUCCAUACUUAUGUUGAUUUUGCAAUCAACUAGCCUUAGGACGUAGAGAUAUCAUAGGUCCAUGACAUGAAUGCAUAAAGAAUGGGAAUGAGAUGAAGAGGGAGGGAAGAUAGAUCAAAAUCAAAUUGGACAAAAGAGGGCUUUUACCAAAUUAAGAUCAUU